rnacentral:rRNA from 1 species
UACGUAGGGUGCGAGCGUUGUCCGGAAUUAUUGGGCGUAAAGAGCUUGUAGGCGGUUUGUCGCGUCUGCCGUGAAAAUCCGGGGCUCAACUCCGGAUCUGCGGUGGGUACGGGCAGACUAGAGUGAUGUAGGGGAGACUGGAAUUCCUGGUGUAGCGGUGAAAUGCGCAGAUAUCAGGAGGAACACCGAUGGCGAAGGCAGGUCUCUGGGCAUUAACUGACGCUGAGGAGCGAAAGCAUGGGGAGCGAACAGG